rnacentral:rRNA from 1 species
AGCAGCCGCGGUAAUUCCAGCUCCAAUAGCGUAUAUUAAAGUUGUUGCAGUUAAAAAGCUCGUAGUUGAAUUUCGGGAUCAAGGGAUCGGUCAUGCCUUGGUAUGUACUGGUCUUAUUGGUUCUCACCUUCUAAAGAACCAUGAUGUCAUUCAUUUGAUGUUAUGGGGAAUUAGGACUGUUACCUUGAAAAAUUAGAGUGUUUAAAGCAAGCUUACGCUUGAAUACAUUAGCAUGGAAUAAUGAAAUAGGACAUCAGAUUCUAUUUUGUUGGUUUCUAGGAUCGAUGUAAUGAUUAAUAGGGAUAGUUGGGGGCAUUAGUAUUCAAUUGUCAGAGGUGAAAUUCUUGGAUUUAUUGAAGACUAACUACUGCGAAAGCAUUUGCCAAGGAUGUUUUCAUUAAUCAAGAACGAAGUUAGGGGAUCGAAGACGAUCAGAUACCGUCGUAGUCU